AACCGCAGGGUCUGAAAGGGGAACUCAAUGGGGGUCUUUAGACAUGCCGCUGAACAUGCAUGGCAGCAUAUUUUAUUUUUUCUAUUCCAGGAGGUAAAUGUAAGAAAUGGUUCAAUCAUAUGUGCCUUGGAGUCGCAGUCUAAUCUACACUGCAUGGAACCUGGAACCAGCAAAGAACUUAGACAGCUGAUCUCAAAAAUUGCUCCAACGAUUUUCCUAGAAAAUUAACAGUUGAUGUAUAUAGCUUGGAAAAGAAUUACUAGCUACUCAAACUUCACUCGUGGAUUCAUGUAUUGAUACAAACAAUUUACAUCUAAGGUCGCAAUGGAACAAGCAUCAAUGGCUCAUAAUAAAAUAUAUAUUCUA
rnacentral:sRNA from 1 species